rnacentral:lncRNA from 1 species
GAUUGGAGAGUGGAAUUUGAGAAGAGACUUCAUAGGGUUUUUAUAGGCAUUAAUUUUGAGGGUUUUGGAUAUAUAAUGACUUUGUAAGAGCUUUACAAAGUUGAUGUUGUUUUCAAUGACUUUGAUUUUUUGGAAAAUAAAAUAGGUUUGGCAUUUUGGAUAAUUUCAAGAAUUUGAUAAUAAAUCUAUCAGUGAAAUUUUCUAAUUUUGUGGAUGUAGUUGUAUUUGAUAUGUACUGUGAAUUUGGAUUUGAUUGAAUGGUUAGA